UCCGCUGUCUGAGCCGGCUCUCUCAGAGCUCGAGCCGACUCGACUGCUGGCUGAUGCUCCUAAUGCUUCCUUCACACCUUUCCUCAUCAGUUCCCAAGGCUUGGAAGCACCACACCUGAGCUCACAAUCUCCACCUUGGUGCUUUCAAGUCCUUGUGAAGUCAGUCCCAUCACCAGUCCCAUCAAUGCCAUAUAAUAACGAAAGCUGUUCCGUGGAAGUACCUUCGCGAGUACAUCAGUUGGAUUCUCCUUGGUGUGAACCUUCACCAGCUUCACUUCACCAUCUUCUACAAACUCUCUGAUCCGAUGGUACCUGAUGUCAAUGUCUUCGUCCUUGCAUGAUAAACGGAGUUCUGUACAAGCAACAAAGCACUUUGGCUGUCAGAAUGCACUCUGACAGCCUUUUGUGAGAAGUCCAUCUCCAAAGCCAAGCCCUUCAACUAUAGGGCUUCCUUCGCUGUCUCUGUGAUGCUAAUGUACUCCGCUUUUGUAUUAGACAAGACCGUUAGGGUUGGAAGCAAGAUCUCUACAAGAUUGGACCUCCAUACAGGCUAAACACAAAACCUAUCGUUGAGCGCCGAAUGUUCACAUCUCCAUCAAAAUCUGCAUCUACAAACCUCUCUGUAACCCCUUGAGCCUCCUUGGACAUGUUGAAGUAUCCAUCAACAUCUCCUUACUAAUCAGAGCAAAUACCAACUCCAACUAUACCAGCCAAAUAUCUGAAAAUAUCUUUCAGUGCUCUUCAGUGCUCUCUGUCAGGCUGCGCCAUAAAUCUGCUCACCUGACUCACUGUAUGGGCUAUAUCCGACCUACAACACACCGUAGAGUACAUAACGCUUUCCACACCAGAGGCACACAAUACUCUCUCCAUCUCUUGAGCCUCCAUCUCAGUCUUUGGCGAUAUAAUCUUCGAGAGUCUGAAGUAUCCGACAAAUGACAGCUCUGUCGGUUGCGCAUCCUUCAUCCCAUAUCUCUCCAAGACCUUCCUUAUACAGCCUCCCUGAGAUAAGUGCAACAUCCCCUUGGAUCUAUCUCUGCGGAUCUCCAUACCUAGGAUCUUCCGUGCAGGCCCCAAGCCCUUCAUCUCAAACUUCCGAGACAAAGCUUCUUUCAACUCCUACACAACUUUUUUACUCUUGCAUACAAUCAACAUAUCAUCUACAUGCAAAAGUAAAUAUAUCCUAGAUCGAUCAUCCAGAGAUCUAACAUACACACAUGGGUCAUAAUCACACCUGGAAAGGCCAAUGCUCCUCACAUAAGUGUCAAAUCACUUGUACCACUGUCUAGGAAACUGCUUCAAUCCGUACAACGAUUUCUUCAACAAACAAACCAUUCCAUCUGAUCCAGAUUUUCUAAACCCCUUUGACUGCUCCACAUAAAUGCUCUCCUUCAAAUGACCAUGAAGGAAUGCCGUCUUCACAUCCAUCUGCUCCAAUUCCAGAUUUUGUGCUGCUACAAUGCUCAACAGCACCCUGAUAGAUGUAUGCCUGAUGACCGGAGAGAAUACCUCUGUAUAAUUAACUCCUGUCUGUGAAUACCCUUUGGCUACUAGCCUAGCCUUGUACCUCACUCCACCUUACUCUGAAGGUGCCUCCUUUCUGGUAUAAAAUCAUUUGGAGCCAAUAGAUCCAGCAUCCUCUGAUAAAUCCACCAACUGCCAUGUCCGGCUCUUCUUGAGAGACUCCAUCUCCUCUAUCAUAGCCUACAUCCAUGACUCCCGAUCCAAACUCCCUAUGGCCUCCUCAAAGAUCUCUGGAUCACCAUUAGCAGUGAUGAGAGCAUAGAAAAUCGUCUCAUCAAUGCCAUACCUGAUCGAUUUAUGAACAGUGCGUUUCGGCUUGUGCAAUGCCACCCCCUUGCUGUAUCCUGCAAGUCUGCUGCCUGUGGCUGCCUCUGCACUUCCUCCUGAACAACAUCCUCACCUCGCUGAUCCUCCAUAGGUGUAUGACCAUCGCCUUCCCAACUCCAUCUCAANNNNNNNNNNNNNNNNNNNNUGAACAGUGCGUUUCGGCUUGUGCAAUGCCACCCCCUUGCUGUAUCCUGCAAGUCUGCUGCCUGUGGCUGCCUCUGCACUUCCUCCUGAACAACAUCCUCACCUCGCUGAUCCUCCAUAGGUGUAUGACCAUGCCUUCCCAACUCCAUCUCAAACUGAAUAUGUUUCGAGCCUGAAGUUGAAGGCAAAUCACCUGACUGCAAGUGCUGUUCACUGUUGUCUUGAGCUGUCUUUCCUACUCCAUCCGCACUUUUCAGCCUUUUCAAGAUGCUCUUUUCAUCAAAGAUCACAUUCCUGCUGAUGACACACUUCUGAAAAUGUGGAUCCCAAAGCAAAUAACCCUUCACACCUGCAGGACAUCCGAUGAAGAUCUUCUGUGACUUUAGAUCCAACUUACUCCGUUCGACUUCCUCCACCAAAGCAUAAGCCGGACAGCCGAACACCUUCAGAUGGCCAAGCUCCACCUUUUUCCCACUCCAGAUUGCCUCUAAAAAUCUUCCAUUGAGUGAUCUAUGGGGAGACCUGUUAACAAGAAAACAAGUAAAUGUUAGAACAUCACCCCAAAAAGAUUUAGAUAGUGAUGCUUGCAUCCUCAAGCUUCUGACCUUCUCAAUCGGUGUUUGGUUCAUCCUCUCCGUGACACCGUUCUGUUGAGGGGUCAUCCUCACUGUGUAAUGACGCUUGAUGCCAUUUUUCUCACAGUACCUCCUGAACUCCAAGCAUGUGUACUCUCCUCCAUUAUCAGACCUUAGACACUUCGCUGGCUACCCUGUCUCCUCCACCUCAGCUCUCCAGACUUUAAAUCGGGCAAACAUCUCUGAUUUUUUUCGGAUCAGAUACACCCAAACUCUCCUGGACAAGUCAUCUAUAAAGGUAACAAAGUAUCUAGCUCCACCCCGAGCUACAACAGGUGCCGGUCCCCAUACGUCCGAGUGAACAAGCUCCAAAAUAGCUUCACUCCACUUAGAACUACUAGCAAACUUUACUCUGUACUAUUUACCAUAGAUACAAGGCUCACAAAGGUCAUCACCCUCUUUGAGUGCCUCUCCUACUCAAUUUCGUGAGCCCCUAGUCACUCAUGUGACCCAUACAAUAGUGCCACAGCUGAUAGACGAGUUGCUCCUCAUAUGCUGCUACAGAAGCCUUCACACUAUGGGUAACCACUGAGCCUUCCAUCCUAUACAGGUUAUUGCUCACUCUUCUCCCUUUCAUCACCACCAAAGCACCUUUGGAGAUCUUCAAACACCCACUCCCUAACUGACAACUGAAAGCAUAUCCCUGCUUCUCCAAAUAACCCAGGGAUAUCAAAUUCUUCUUCAGUUCCGACACAUGCUUCACAUUGGUAAGUAUCCGUAUGACUCCAUCAUACAUCCUCACCCUGAUAGCACCAACACUAGCCACUCUACAUGGGUGAUCAUCUCCAAGACUCACACUACCACCAUCUGAUUUCUCAUAGGAGGCAAACCAAUCACGAUGUGCAGUGUAGUGGUGGAAACAUGCUGAAUCAAAUGUCUAAUGGCUAUCAAACUCUACUGCCCCAUCUGAUACUACCAGUACAUCAUUUUCACUGUCUUCGGAUGAUAGAGCACCACUCCCACUGAUCGAUCCAACCUUACCCUUCCCCUUCUCAUUCUUCAGAAGUGGGCAAUUCCUUCUUAGAUGACCAGGCUGAUAACAUUUGUAGUAUUUUACAGCCUUCAAAUUUUCUCGAGGCUUCGAUCUGCCCUUAGACUUAUCUCGAAUCCUCUCCUUAGGUCUCCCUUGCCUCUCAUUCAUAGCAAGUAUCUCUGAGUUAGGGCUAUCUUUACAUAGCUUCUCUUGCUGCUCAUUUGAUCUGAGAACUCCAACCACUUCCUCAAAAUUCNNNNNNNNNNNNNNNNNNNNAAGAUCUCUUUCCCAUACACCAAAGUAGUGAUGAGACCAUCAUAAGAAAUUGGCAACGAACACAACAACAGGAGAGCUCUAUCCUCCUCAUCUAUCUUCACAUCAAGGCUCAUGACAUCCGAGCAAACUUGAUUGAAUUUCUGGAUGUGGUCAAUCAAAUCUCCUUCGGGCAUCCUCAAACUAUAUAGUUGCUUCUUCAACCACAACUUGUUUGUCAUGUUCUUGCCCAUGUAUGUAUUCUCAAGCUUCUUCCAGAGCCUUUUCAGUAUGGUCUCUACGCUAAUCUCAGGCAAAACCUCAUUAGCAAGGCAUAUUCUAAUUGUGCUAAAAGCUAUUUCCUCCAAUUCCUCCCAAUCUUCAAUAGAAAUCUUUUCAGGCCUAUCCCUAAAGACCUUAUAAAUUCUAUUCUGAACUAACAGAUCCUUUAUCUUUUGCUGCCAAAGGGUGAAAUUUUUCUUGCCAUCAAACUUCCCAAAAUCUGCCUUAAGGCUACUCGACGCCAUUCCACAUAGAUUUCAAUUCUAACACAAGGAAUACUCACAAAUCUAUGGAAUUCUGGGUAAAACAAGACAGAUUACNNNNNNNNNNNNNNNNNNNNAGGAUCUCUUUCCCAUACACCAAAGUAGUGAUGAGACCAUCAUAAGAAAUUGGCAACGAACACAACAACAGGAGAGCUCUAUCCUCCUCAUCUAUCUUCACAUCAAAGCUCAUGACAUCCGAGCAAACUUGAUUGAAUUUUUGGAUGUGGUCAAUCAAAUCUCCUUCGGACAUCCUCAAACUAUACAGUUGCUUCUUCAACCACAACUUGUUUGUCAUGUUCUUGCCCAUGUAUGUAUUCUCAAGCUUCUUCCAGAGCCUUUUCAGUCUGGUCUCUACGCUAAUCUCAGGCAAAACCUCAUUAGCAAGGCAUAUUCUAAUUGUGCUAAAAGCUAUUUCCUCCGAUUCCUCCCAAUCUUCAAUAGAAAUCUUUUCAGGCCUAUCCCUAAAGACCUUAUAAAUUCUAUUCUGAACUAACAGAUCCUUUAUCUUUUGCUGCCAAAGGGUGAAAUUUUUCUUGCCAUCAAACUUCUCAAAAUCUGCCUUAAGGCUACUCGACGCCAUUCCACAUAGAUUUCAAUUCUAACACAAGGAAUACUCACAAAUCUAUGGAAUUCUGGGUAAAACAAGACAGAUUACUCAAGAUCAAGGCAGAUCCUUAUCCAAAUCAAGCGUCCAAGACUUUUCCUCCAUCAGAUCUAGCUCCUGAGCUCUGAUACCAAUUGUUGAUAGGAUCAAAUCUUCUCUUGCUGAUCAUAGAUCGCGAAAGCAGCAGCAAGAAUGGGAGGAAAAUCUUGAUGACGGAUCAGGUCAGGCCUAGAAGAACCCUAGACACGAGGAAGAGGAGAGGAGAAAUAUGAAAGAGGGAGAGAGAGAGCAAUUAGGGAGAAAAGGCUUCUAUUCUGAUUCCAUUCAAUCAAAACCAUAUGCAAAAAUAUAUAUAUACAUGGUCAAUUUGACCUAAACUAAAAACUCCCCCAGCUAAACCAAUUAGUACAAUUUUCAAAUCCAUGUACACCCAUGUCUUGCCUUGACACCCAUUAAACUAAACCCCUAGUCUAAUCCUUGGAUUAGCUCCUUAAGACCUCCAAAACCAAGAUCUUAAGUCUCUAGAAUUGAACCCAAUUCUAGACCAAAACAGAAUCCCAAAAGUCUUCUAUCCGUGCCGUCGAGCCGGCUCUGUCAGGAUCCGAGCCAGCUCUAGCACGUCUUCCCGCAGUGUGCCAGAAAACGCUGCUUUCUGUUCUCCUGUCAGAACUGGCUCUCUCAGGAUUCGAGCCGGCUCAACCUGGAUCCGAGGCAACUCGACCUAUAGUCGAGUCAGCUCGACAGCUGUGUCAUCCACUGGUGCCAGAAAUACAACUCUCUAUCUGUGAUCCGAGCCAGCUCUCUCAGAGCUCGAGCCAACUCGAUUGCUAGCUGAUGCUCCUGAUGCUUCCUUCACACCUUGUCCUUUCCUCAUCAGUUCCCAGGACUUGGAAACACCGCACCUAAGCUCACAUCUCUCUCUAUCAAGAUUUGGUAGAAAAAGCGGAGGCCUUGGCGGCCCUCCGAGCAAACCCACAGCCUGUCUGUGGACACUGCCAGUGUCUCCUCCGACUACCCUCUCUCUCCC
rnacentral:lncRNA from 1 species